rnacentral:rRNA from 1 species
AACAACGGAUCUCUUGGUUCUGGCAUCGAUGAAGAACGCAGCGAAAUGCGAUAAGUAAUGUGAAUUGCAGAAUUCCGUGAAUCAUCGAAUUUUUGAACGCAUAUUGCGCCCUCUGGUAUUCCGGAGGGCAUGCCUGUCCGAGCGUCAUUACUAUCUUCAAGCGCAGCUUGUGUGUUGAGCAUCUGUUCUUUAAUGGACAUGCUUGAAAUGCAGUGGCAAUGCAGGCUUUGGUAGCCCAAGCGUUAUAGGGCUUUGUCACACGCUUUGUUGGCUCCAGUCGGCAUUUAGGCCCAUAACCUUAAAACCUAAAACUGACCUCGGAUCAGGCAAGAAUACCCGCUGAACUUAAGCAUAUCAAUAAGCGGAGGA